rnacentral:rRNA from 1 species
UCGCCUGUUUAUCAAAAACAUAGUUUUAUGAUUAUAUAUAAAAUAUUUUCUGCCCAGUGUCAAUAGAUAAAUGGCCGCAGUACCUUGACUGUGCUAAGGUAGCAUAAUCAAUUGGCUUUUAAUUGAAGUCUAGAAUGAAUGGGAUAAUGGAAUUUAGCUGUCUUGAUUUUUUUAAUGAAAAUUUAUUUACAAGGUGAAAAUACCUUGAAUUAUAAUAAAGACGAGAAGACCCUAUGAAUUUUUAAAUUUUUUGUUGGGGCGACAGUUUAAAAAUAUAAAUCUUAAAUUUAAAAUAUAUAACGAUUUUUUUAAUAGAAAUUAAAUUACCUUAGGGAUAACAGCAUUAUUAUUUAAAUAGUUUGUGACCUCGAUGUUGGACUAGGAACUAAAAGGCUAACCGUCUUUAUAGAUUUGUUCUGUUCGAACAAUUAUAUCCUACGUGAUCUGAGUUCAGACCGGA